UCUCCGCAGCCAUGACCAGAAUAGAAAACAAAAACAAGAGUAAUUUUGAGGUUAAGUCGCGCGCGAACAAUUUAUUCGUUGUAGUGUGGAUGGUAUGUGGAACGCGAAUAGAGUUUGACAAUUCGUAGCAACCAAACUGCAAUUCGUAACUACCAAAUUGUUUUUACAAAUUUUUCUUAUUUUAGCAAACAAAAUGCAAAUUUUAGUAUUCUAACAUUAGUAUCAAUUGGUUUCUUAUAAUUUGAAUAAUUUUUUGUUUGAAAUUGAGUCGUAGAAAUGUGUUAAAUCUCGUUUGUUCGUCCAUUCGUUCAUUCGUUGGUCGCUCUCAUGUGCAAAGUCCUUAAAGGGCUUUGACAUUGGUUGUCAACAAUAGAUCAGUUCGAUUUUCUGUUUCUGAGUGCACACCGGGCAAUUUCAGAACUAAGAACUGAGUUCUUUUCUUCUCCGAUUUUAUGAAUUGUGAACUUUAAUUGUAUAUUUGUAAAGAAAAUAGCAAGUACCUACAGGAAAUCUAGUCGUGCAUUUUAUUUUAUUAAAAAAAAAGAACAACAAUAAUAGUUAAAAAUUUCUUGCAUAAGAACUUCCUUAGUGCACAUUCGGCGAUAAAAUAUCAAACACACCUUGGAAUUUGAAGUGAGCUGUCAAAAAGCAAUCCGUCAUACGACGUAAGGGCCCAACCCAUAGAAUCCGUUGCGUCCGUUCCGUCGAAGUUUUCAACUGACAGCUCGAUAAAAUACACACGUUCUUAUGGGAAGCGACCCAUAAGCGACGGAUCGGACGGAGACGGACGGAUUCGACGGAAGAAGUUGCCCAACUUUCUACAUUUUCAUCCGUCGUAUGCUUUGACAUUGGUUGUCAACAAUAGAUCUGUUCAAUUUUCUGUUUUAGAGUGCACACCGGGGAAUUUCAGAACUAAGAACUGUGUUCUCUUCUUCUCCGCUUUAUGAAUUGUGAACUUUAAUUGUUUAUUUGUGAAGAAAAUGUAAUAAAAGUAACAUUUAAUGAUAUAUCUAAUAAAUUAUAUCAAUUAAAUACUAAAAUUCUGUUGUAGAGUUCAAUUUUAUCAUGCCAAAGUCAUAUCUACAAAUGAUAAUCUGUUAUUAAAAAUUGUUUUUAACUGAAGAGCAAGUACCUACAUGAAAUCUAGUCACGCAUUUUAUUUCAUUAAAAAAAAGAACAACAAUAAUAGUUAAAAAUUUCUUGCAUCAGAACUUCCUAGUGCACAUUCAGCGAUAAAAUAUCGAACACACCUCGGAAUUUGAAGUGAGCUGUCAAAAAGCAAUCCGUCGUACGACGUAUUCUAUGGGUCACCCCUUUCUGUCCCAAACUUCAACUUCAACGGAUGGAUUGACGGAACGGACGCAACGGAUUCUAUGGGUUGGGGCCUAUAGCCGGACGGAAAGAUUGUUAAUAAAUGUAGAUGCUGACCAAGAAACAAAACAGAAAGUCGUGGCGGCAAGAAGAAGAGGAACUCUUGGUGGAGAUGUGGGUCGACAAAAUUAGCCAGCUCCGUGGGCAGAAAAAUUUCACAACAACAUUGCUUUGUAGGAUUAACAAAUGUGAUCUGAAAACAAUA